rnacentral:rRNA from 1 species
UACGUAGGGUGCGAGCGUUGUCCGGAAUCAUUGGGCGUAAAGGGCGCGUAGGUGGCCCGGUCAGCGUGCGGUGAAAGCUCGGGGCUCAACCCCGAGUCGGCCGUGCGAACUGCUGGGCUGGAGCACUGUAGAGGCAGGCGGAAUUCCGGGUGUAGCGGUGGAAUGCGUAGAGAUCCGGAAGAACACCGGUGGCGAAGGCGGCCUGCUGGGCAGUGGCUGACACUGAGGCGCGACAGCGUGGGGAGCAAACAGG